GACGAACGCUGGCGGCGUGCCUAAUACAUGCAAGUCGAGCGAAGUUUUUCUGGUGCUUGCACUAGAAAAACUUAGCGGCGAACGGGUGAGUAACACGUAAAGAACCUGCCUCAUAGACUGGGACAACUAUUGGAAACGAUAGCUAAUACCGGAUAACAGCAUUAACUGCAUGGUUGAUGUUUAAAAGUUGGUUAUGCUAACACUAUGAGAUGGCUUUGCGGUGCAUUAGCUAGUUGGUGGGGUAAAGGCCUACCAAGGCGACGAUGCAUAGCCGACCUGAGAGGGUGAUCGGCCACACUGGGACUGAGACACGGCCCAGACUCCUACGGGAGGCAGCAGUAGGGAAUCUUCCGCAAUGGGCGAAAGCCUGACGGAGCAACGCCGCGUGAGUGAAGAAGGAUUUCGGUUCGUAAAGCUCUGUUGUUAGGGAAGAAUGAUUGUGUAGUAACUAUACACAGUAGAGACGGUACCUAACCAGAAAGCCACGGCUAACUACGUGCCAGCAGCCGCGGUAAUACGUAGGUGGCAAGCGUUGUCCGGAAUUAUUGGGCGUAAAGCGCGCGCAGGUGGUUUAAUAAGUCUGAUGUGAAAGCCCACGGCUCAACCGUGGAGGGUCAUUGGGAACUGUUAAACUUGAGUGCAGGAGAGAAAAGUGGAAUUCCUAGUGUAGCGGUGAAAUGCGUAGAGAUUAGGAGGAACACCAGUGGCGAAGGCGGCUUUUUGGCCUGUAACUGACACUGAGGCGCGAAAGCGUGGGGAGCAAACAGG
rnacentral:rRNA from 1 species